rnacentral:snoRNA from 1 species
UGUUUCUCUCUCUUUACCUCUCCGUUACUCUCUCUCUAAAAAAUCAAUAAAAACAUAAAAAAGAAAUUUACAAGCCAGGGACAAAGUAACUCCGUGUUUAUCCCAACUUGGCUUUUAAUCUAUGUCAUGCCUGGUUCAUGCCCUGGACACCUGG